rnacentral:rRNA from 1 species
UACGAAGGGGGCUAGCGUUGCUCGGAAUUACUGGGCGUAAAGGGCGCGUAGGCGGACAGUUAAGUCAGAGGUGAAAGCCCAGGGCUCAACCCUGGAAUAGCCUUUGAUACUGGCUGUCUUGAGUGCGGGAGAGGUGUGUGGAACUCCGAGUGUAGAGGUGAAAUUCGUAGAUAUCGAGAGGAACACCGGUGGCGAAGGCGGCCUUCUGGACAGUGACUGACGCUGAGACGCGAAAGCUAGGGGAGCAAACGGG